ensembl:misc_RNA Metazoa_SRP Metazoan signal recognition particle RNA
UCCGGGAGCAGUGGCACGUGCCUGUGGUCCCAGCUACUCCGGAGGCUGAGGCAGGAGGAGGGCUUGAGCCUGGGAGUUCUGGGUAUAAUGUGCUAUGUGGAUCUGGUGUCUGCACUGGGUCUGGCAGCAGUAGGGUGACCUCCUGAGAGUGGGGGGUCACCAGGUUGCCCAAGGAGGGGUGAACCAGCCCAGGUUGGAAACAGAGCAAGUGAAAACUCCAGAUUGGGAUCGAACCUCUGAAUAGCCACUGCACUCCAGCCUGGGCAACAGAGCGAGACCUCAUCUCUG